rnacentral:rRNA from 1 species
CCUACGGGUGGCUGCAGUGAGGAAUAUUGGUCAAUGGGCGGGAGCCUGAACCAGCCAAGCCGCGUGAAGGAAGAAGGCGCCAGGCGUCGUAAACUUCUUUUGUGCGGGAGCAAUAAUGGUCACGUGUGGCCAGACGAGAGUACCGUACGAAUAAGCAUCGGCUAACUCCGUGCCAGCAGCCGCGGUAAUACGGGGGAUGCAAGCGUUAUCCGGAUUUAUUGGGUUUAAAGGGUGCGUAGGCUGUGAGGUAAGUCAGCGGUGAAAUGCCCCCGCUCAACGGGGUGAAGUGCCAUUGAUACUGCCUUGCUGGAAUGCGGAUGCCGUGGGAGGAAUGUGUGGUGUAGCGGUGAAAUGCAUAGAUAUCACACAGAACACCGAUUGCGAAGGCAUCUCACGAAUCCGCGAUUGACGCUGAUGCACGAAAGCGUGGGUAUCAAACAGGAUUAGAUACCCUGGUAGUC